CUCCGGGCUCUCCAAAUGCCGGAGUAACUAUAGAGGCACACCUCAUUGCCUUCAGUGCGGAAUGUUUUUCGACUCCAAUCAAAAAGGCAGACAAGCAGAGCACGCGGUUUCCGCGGUGUUCUUUCGCUGCAUGCAACGCUGAUUUCUC
rfam:Bartonella australis Aust/NH1, complete genome.